rnacentral:rRNA from 1 species
GAUGAACGCUGGCGGCGUGCCUAAUACAUGCAAGUCGAGCGGCAGCGGGCUCACAGUGCUUUGGUUCAAUACAGAACGAAGGUAAUGUGAGCGCCGGCGAGCGGCGGACGGCUGAGUAACGCGUGGGAACAUGCCCCAAAGUGAGGGAUAACUGCUCGAAAGGUUAGCUAAUACCGCAUACGACCGAGAGGUGAAAGCGGGGGACCGCAAGGCCUCGCGCGAUUGGAUGAGCCGACGUCGGAUUAGCUAGUUGGCGGGGUAAAGGCCCACCAAGGCGACGAUCCGUAGCUGGUCUGAGAGGAUGAUCAGCCACACUGGAACUGAGACACGGUCCAGACUCCUACGGGAGGCAGCAGUGGGGAAUAUUGGACAAUGGGCGCAAGCCUGAUCCAGCAAUGCCGCGUGUGUGAAGAAGGCCUUCGGGUUGUAAGCACUUUUAUCAGGAACGAAAGCGUUGGAUUAAUACUCUGACGUGCUGAC